CAAUGUCCUCCUUUUCACCUGGAGACAUAGUCAAGUCGUAGGGAAGCAGGGGGAUCCUCUGCGGCAGAAGGUUUUGGUGUCGAAAUAUUGGCACUAGGGGUAGGGGUCCGCAAGUCUACCAAGAGACUGUUGACUAGCGGCGACAGCGAAGAAGUGGAAGGUCGAGGAAAGAAGUUCAGUGGUGUCGACCGUCCACUGGGGAAGAAUGACAGUGUCGCUACCCGUGUUGCCUGUGUCGAGCACACCUGCUGAUGAGAUAACUGCUGCUGCUGAGGCUGCUGUUGAGGGAGGGGAUCAUAGAAGAACACAGUUUUUCCAUCUCGGGUUCUUAUGAGGUGUCCGUCGCAGACAGUGAGGUUCGUUCAAGUCAGCUUUGUUGACCUUGCUGUCAAAGGUGCUACUGGGAGAAGUUUUUGGAAGCUCUAAAACUUCUCUCUCUCUGCGAGACGCCUUUGGUCUUCCGUCCCACAGCUGCAUCGGUACUUAUCGGAUCAAGGAUGACUUCGGAUCCUGCCUGACGGAUAACCAGUGUUGCAAAGAAAGAUUCAAAGACAAUGAAUACUUGCAGUGUGCCAGAGGUCUGCACAGUCAGUAGAAAAUGACAACACAG